UACGAAGGGGGCUAGCGUUGUUCGGAAUUACUAGGCGUAAAGCGCGCGCAGGCGGCUAUCCAAGUCAGUGGUGAAAGCCGGAGCUCAACUCCGGAACUGCCAUUGAAACUGUUUAGCUUGAGGAUGAGAGAGGUGAGUGGAAUUCCCAGUGUAGAGGUGAAAUUCGUAGAUAUUGGGAAGAACACCGGUGGCGAAGGCGGCUCACUGGCUCAUUACUGACGCUCAGGCGCGAUAGCGUGGGGAGUCAAACAGG
rnacentral:rRNA from 1 species